GAUGAACGCUGGCGGCGUGCCUAAUACAUGCAAGUCGAGCGAACAGACGAGGAGCUUGCUCCUCUGACGUUAGCGGCGGACGGGUGAGUAACACGUGGAUAACCUACCUAUAAGACUGGGAUAACUUCGGGAAACCGGAGCUAAUACCGGAUAAUAUAUUGAACCGCAUGGUUCAAUAGUGAAAGACGGUUUUGCUGUCACUUAUAGAUGGAUCCGCGCCGCACUAGCUAGUUGGUAAGGUAACGGCUUACCAAGGCAACGAUGCGUAGCCGACCUGAGAGGGUGAUAGGCCACACUGGAACUGAGACACGGUCCAGACUCCUACGGGAGGCAGCAGUAGGGAAUCUUCCGCAAUGGGCGAAAGCCUGACGGAGCAACGCCGCGUGAGUGAUGAAGGUCUUCGGAUCGUAAAACUCUGUUAUUAGGGAAGAACAAAUGUGUAAGUAACUAUGCACGUCUUGACGGUACCUAAUCAGAAAGCCACGGCUAACUACGUG
rnacentral:rRNA from 1 species